rnacentral:rRNA from 1 species
CCCGGUGAUCUAGCCAUGGGCAGGUUGAAGGUUGGGUAACACUAACUGGAGGACCGAACCGACUAAUGUUGAAAAAUUAGCGGAUGACCUGUGGCUGGGGGUGAAAGGCCAAUCAAACCGGGAGAUAGCUGGUUCUCCCCGAAAGCUAUUUAGGUAGCGCCUCGUGAAUUCAUCUCCGGGGGUAGAGCACUGUUUCGGCUAGGGGGCCAUCCCGGCUUACCAACCCGAUGCAAACUGCGAAUACCGGAGAAUGUUAUCACGGGAGACACACGGCGGGUGCUAACGUCCGUCGUGAAGAGGGAAACAACCCAGACCGCCAGCUAAGGUCCCAAAGUCAUGGUUAAGUGGGAAACGAUGUGGGAAGGCCCAGACAGCCAGGAUGUUGGCUUAGAAGCAGCCAUCAUUUAAAGAAAGCGUAAUAGCUCACUGGUCGAGUCGGCCUGCGCGGAAGAUGUAACGGGGCUAAACCAUGCACCGAAGCUGCGGCAGCGACACUGUGUGUUGUUGGGUAGGGGAGCGUUCUGUAAGCCUGUGAAGGUGUGUCGUGAGGCAUGCUGGAGGUAUCAGAAGUGCGAAUGCUGACAUAAGUAACGAUAAAGCGGGUGAAAAGCCCGCUCGCCGGAAGACCAAGGGUUCCUGUCCAACGUUAAUCGGGGCAGGGUGAGUCGACCCCUAAGGCGAGGCCGAAAGGCGUAGUCGAUGGGAAACGGGUUAAUAUUCCCGUACUUGGUGUUACUGCGAAGGGGGGACGGAGAAGGCUAUGUUGGCCGGGCGACGGUUGUCCCGGUUUAAGCGUGUAGGCUGGUUUUCCAGGCAAAUCCGGAAAAUCAAGGCUGAGGCGUGA